rnacentral:rRNA from 1 species
UACGGAGGGUGCGAGCGUUGUCCGGAAUCACUGGGCGUAAAGGGCGCGUAGGCGGCUGGGGAAGUCGGCGGUGAAAGCCCGGAGCUCAACUCCGGGUCGGCCGUCGAGACUCCUCGGCUCGAGCUCACUAGAGGCAGAUGGAAUUCCGGGUGUAGCGGUGGAAUGCGUAGAGAUCCGGAAGAACACCGGUGGCGAAGGCGGCCUUCUGGACCAGUACUGACGCUCAUGCACGAAAGCGUGGGAGCAAACAGG